rnacentral:rRNA from 1 species
UACAGAGGGGGCUAGCGUUAUUCGGAAUUAUUGGGCGUAAAGGGCGCGUAGGCGGCCAUGCGUGUCUUCCGUGAAAUCCCUCGGCUUAACUGAGGACGUGCGGAAGAAACUGCAAGGCUCGAGUCCGGGAGAGGGGGGUGGAAUUCCCAGUGUAGCGGUGAAAUGCGUAGAUAUUGGGAGGAACACCGGUGGCGAAGGCGGCCCCCUGGACCGGUACUGGCACGCUGAGGCGCGAAAGCGUGGGAUAGCAA